rnacentral:misc_RNA from 1 species
UUAGUUGUGGUGGUCGGCCAAUAAAUUGUGGUGGUCAAAAGCAAAGCAAAGAGUACACAUAAAACGAAAACGGAGAUGUUAAAAAUAAAAUAGAGAAAACGGAAACAGUCAUUUAAAUUGCGAGUGGUAAUCAAGCGGAUUAAGCAUAGUUCCAAUCCACAACUAUUUUUUGGCUUUCGGUAUAAAAAUAACAACAACAACAGUCAACUACGCACCGACAACGGACACCAACACUAAGAACCAACACCGACACUGACACCGACGACCGACGUACGAUUAACGCCCUCCCUACGCUCCGCACUUUUGGCACCCGCACACACACUGACGCACACACGCAUACACUCCUCUCUACAAAUAAUCAUCAUCAUCAUCAUCAUCAUCAUUAUCAUCAUCAUUGCACAGGCGAAGGCACAAGGCACAUAAACACUCAAACACUUAUCUAUAUACCGCGUUUAUCAACGCCGCCCGUCUCCGCCACCGCUGCUGACCCACCACCUCCCACACCCCACCAACCUGAUCCACAACAUCAACUUUGUUUGCUAUUGUUGUCUGCUGCUGCUGUCAUUUGUUUUGUUUCCUUAAAUGUGAACGCACACACACACACGCACGCACGCACGCAAACACCUACACAUACGCGCAAAAUACGAAGGAGCAAACAAAGGCGACGGCUCGAAAAGAAAAGAAAAAAACUGCAACAAAACAACGGAGAGAGCGAGCGAGAGUGACUCCAUUGAGAGCGAAAGCAAAAAGUGCAAUAGAGAGCGCAAGUUUAAAAGUGCAAACUUAAAUAACAAAACGAUCAGCGAUCGCGGGGCGUAGGGCCAGUGGGGGGCAGAGGCCGUGCGAGAAAGUCAAACUCAAACUCUAUGGGUCAAAAGGCAAGCACACCAGCGACCAGCGGCCAGCAGAGCCCACGCUCCAGAACAUUUUCCAGCAGCUCAACGGGUGCAACCGCAACCGACACAACGCCGCAAAGUUCAGCGGUUGGUGGCCGCGGCGGCGAUGCCGGUCAGGGAUUUAACUUGCUGCGCACACUGCCGGGUCUGCAGGUCUAUCACCACCAUCAUAAUCAGCAGAACUCCACGUCCAUAGACCGACAGCGUGCUCGCAGCCUUAGCUCUGUGCCAGAUAUACAACAGCAGCAGCAGCAGCAACAACAACAACAGCAGCAGCAGCAACAACAACAGCAGCAACAGCAACAACAGCAGGGAUCCACAACGUAUCCGCACACACAUCCCGCCGUCUCAGUCUCUGUGUCAGCUAAUUCAAAUAGCAAUAGUUUCCAAGUGGCAGCCGGCAACAACAACGGCUCAUCGGCUGCCGCACAAAGCUACAUGCAACAGAGACGCGCUUUUGGUGACUCAAUACGCGAGAUGUCCAUGACCGGCGCCAAUAUCGUUGAGAGCAUCGCAAUGGCCGCAUCUGCAACAUCUGCGAAUGGCAUCGGUCGUGUGUACACAGCGACAUCGCUGCCAUCGCACAUUUGGUCCUUCAAUGGCAUCAAGUGUCCCGUGUGCAAUAAGUUCGUGUUGCCAGACGAUAUUGAAUGCCAUUUAGUUAUGUGCCUAACAAAACCCAGACUCUCAUAUAAUGAGGAUACAUUAAUGGACGCCAAGGGCGAGUGCGUCAUAUGCCUUGAAGACUUGAGUCCAGGUGAUACAAUUGCUCGAUUGCCAUGUCUAUGCAUAUACCACAAAGGCUGCAUUGAUCGUUGGUUUGAGGUGAAUCGCUCCUGUCCCGAGCAUCCAGGAGAUUAGUAAAAGUCUCAUUAGAGCUCGUUAAGUCGUUUAACGUCUAAGUGGGCAGUGCGUAGAGCGAGUGCCAUAAACAAAACUGGAUGAUAGACGACUUUUGAGCAAGCAUUUUAGUUUUGCAUAUUUGCAGGUUAGCAACAAAAAGCCAACAUUGUAAAGAUCAUCAAUUGUUAAAUGGAAUGGAAAAUGAAGUGAGAGGAGAGGCUACGACAAGCAAAAUCUGGAUCGAGCGAUCGAUCGUUUUGACCUACCGACCGACUGUUUAUGCAAAUCCACAAGAAAACAAACACAAAUCAAUUGAAACAAAUUAAUUUACAAUGCUAUCAUAACUAGAAAGUGCAACGUCAACAAACAAAGGACAAAGGACAAAAGUGAACGAAACCAACCAACCCACAAAAACAAAACAAAAAAAAAAACAAAAAAACAGAAAAGAAACAAAUAACAAAGCUAAAUCAACACGAUGUUAAGAAUGAUGUAAAGAUAAAGUUAAUGAUGAUGAAAGUGCAUGAAAGCGAAGCAACCAACCAACCAACAAAAGAAUGUCAACCAAUGUGAUGUUAAAUUUUAUAUUUUGUACUAUGGAUAUGAUGUAAUUGUAAUGUAAUGUAUAUGUAUGU